UACAGAGGUGGCAAGCGUUGUUCGGAAUUACUGGGCGUAAAGGGCGAGUAGGUGGCCAUCUAAGUCAGACGUGAAAUCCCCCGGCUUAACCUGGGAACUGCGUCUGAUACUGGAUGGCUUGAAUCCGGGAGAGGGAUGCGGAAUUCCAGGUGUAGCGGUGAAAUGCGUAGAUAUCUGGAGGAACACCGGUGGCGAAGGCGGCAUCCUGGACCGGCAUUGACGCUGAGGAGCGAAAGCCAGGGGAGCAAACGGG
rnacentral:rRNA from 1 species